GCCUGGGUGGCUCAGUGGUUGAGCGUCUGCCUUCGGCUCAGGGUGUGAUCCUGGGGUCCUGGGAUCGAGUCCCACUCCAGGUC
rnacentral:tRNA from 1 species